rnacentral:rRNA from 1 species
GAUGAACGCUGGCGGCGUGCUUAACACAUGCAAGUCGAACGGAAAGGCUCCUGCUUGCAGGGGUACUCGAGUGGCGAACGGGUGAGUAACACGUGGGUGAUCUGCCCUGCACUUCGGGAUAAGCCUGGGAAACUGGGUCUAAUACCGGAUAGGACCACAUUUUGGAUGGUGUGGUGGAAAGUUUUUCGGUGUGGGAUGAGCUCGCGGCCUAUCAGCUUGUUGGUGGGGUAAUGGCCUACCAAGGCGUCGACGGGUAGCCGGCCUGAGAGGGUGUACGGCCACAUUGGGACUGAGAUACGGCCCAGACUCCUACGGGAGGCAGCAGUGGGGAAUAUUGCACAAUGGGCGCAAGCCUGAUGCAGCGACGCCGCGUGGGGGAUGACGGCCUUCGGGUUGUAAACUCCUUUCGCUAGAGGCGAAGCGCAAGUGACGGUACCUGGAGAAGAAGCACCGGCUAACUACGUG